GCGAAGGGGCCCCCUGCUGGCCGGACGCGGCAGCGCGGCGACCCGCUCCCGGUUCCCGCCGCCCCGCCGCGCCCCGCCCCGCUGCGACCCUCUGCGCCCCCAGCGCUGGGGCGCGUUAAAAGAAACAGAAAACAAAACAAAACAAACACGGCGCCAAAAUCCACUCUCACCUCGUCUACUGCUUGAAGAUAUACACAUGAGUAUGAUGUGUUCCCUACUUGCAAGGAAACAUGAAAAUCAAUAAGGGAGAUAGAUGGACCCAAUAAUGUGUAUAAAUGAAAAAUGGGGCUGGGAGGUCAUCUAAGAGGAAGGGACAUGAUGAUGGCCUGCUCUCGUCUCAGUCUAAGCACAGCUCUGCACAGCAAGGAGGAAAGAUCAUACUUCCUACACAAACUCCAACCCAGAACCACCUGUCAAAGGUAACCUGUAGUCAAUUCUGUCUCCCUGUAAGUGUACCCUACCCCUUUCCCAUGCAGUUGAGAAUAAAAUCGGGGCACACCAGUGUGUAUUCUGAAUCAAGAGCACAAGAGCAUGCUAGAGUGUUUGGGUAAGUAACCAUCAUAAAAACCUGGCUCUGUGUCCCUCGUAUCAUACUACAGAAGAUAAAAAGAAAAUGAAAGUGUUAGUUGCUCAGUCGUGUCCAAUUCUUUGUGAUCCCAUGGACAGUAGCCCUCCAGGCUCCUCUGUCCAUGGAAUUCUCCAGGAAAGAAUACUGGAGUGGAUGAGAAAUAUGUAAAAACUCUUUCACUGUCCUGAUUCACUUUUCUUCCAGAACACCUCUGGUUCAAUGUAACUAAAUUUUUGUUACAUAGUUUUAGGCUGUAUGACUCACUGUGACACUGCUCUUUGGCUCCAGUUCUUGUGUCAGAUUCCAUCACUAAGUAUCUUAUUUGAACAUGUUUUCUGACCUGACCCUCUGCCCCCUUUUUAGAACAGAACUCAGUAUUUCAUUUCUGUCUCUGUCUACGUUCCACCUUGACAGUGCAUCACCCAGAUGAGUUGGAUUACCCCAUGCAGCUGUUCUGGAAGAGUAAAGGGGUUACCUAUGCCUCUUUCCUGCCACUAACUUGCCCACACAUACCCCAACUCUCUUAGCCUAUGCCCCUCACUACCUGUGUACUGGUUGACAAUUUUCAAAGAAAAAGUAAUUGACAGCAUGAAAUAGGAAUGGAGGAGAGAAUUGAACUCACUGAUGACUCUGCAUUCGUUGCUUUUCCCAAAUUGGAAUAUAUAUUCUCUUUCCUAUUCUGCUCUCUCCUGUCAUUUUUUUCUCAAGAUAAUCCCAAGUUAAGGCCUUCUGAGAUUAGAUUCUUCUAGAAGCAGUCCCUGAGCCAAGGAUUGAGGUGCAAGUCAUUUUAUUUCUUGGGCAAAAUCAUUAAGGAAAUGAAGCAAUAGGGAAGAGGAGGGAAGAAGCCAAACCAGGGGCAGUUUAUUCAGCCUAAUCCUGAGAGUUUGCCAGCUGUAAAAAAAAGGCGAACUUUUGGUACCUUCACACCGGUUGGGGCAUUGAGAAGUGCACUGGGACAGGAAGAGCCUGGAAACCGGAGUACUAACUCCUGGCACUUCUGCUUCUCCGAGGUGCCAGAGGGCAAUCCUCUGAAGUAGAGCUGGUGUUCAGGGAGGGGCCCAGGGAACACAGAAGGGGAUUCUAGGGGACCUGGGCAAGGCACCAUGAGUGAGAAGUACAAAGGCACAUGCCUCUUCCUUUAGUCUGAAAGUUUGAUGCUGUUUUCUUAAAUCAUGUAAGAAUAUUGACUAGAAUUCUCUUUCAACCAAAGGGAAUCUUGUUUUCCAGUUACUAGUGUCAGGAUUAGACAGAAUGGUAUUACCUAGAAUAUGAUCAACUCAGCCAAGGUGGGAUGAAGUGACCCCAAAUUGCCUAAUACCACUGAGUACUAAUUAUGGCCUAGGCUUUUAAGACUGAAUGUAUGUUACUUCUUUUAAUCUCAUUUAAUUCUUUCAUCAACCCAAUACAAUACAUAUGAGUAUGUGGUUGAGCCAGGCAGCCUGACACUGGGGCCUAUACUUCCCUUCACAAAGAGGCUAAUUGGGUUCUACAAUAUUAGAAAGAAGAAACUCAUGACUCCUGGGCCUAAUUUCUGCACAUAACACCUCCAUUUCUUCCCACCCGCCCAAAAAUGAUGAAAAAAAAAAAAAAAAAAGAAUACCAACUCAAUGGAAUGAGAGCCCCAAGCCUGACCUCAUUAAGCUGAAUUCUAUCUAAUGUGUGUCAUCCAUGACUGCACACAUAGUUUUCCUGCCUUGGGGAUGUCAUAUCAGAACACGAUCUCCGGUGUUCUGGGUUGAAGCUUUUCCCACCAAGGGAAUAUGUUGUUUUCUUACUAGGCUUCAGAGCUAAGACACAGACCUUCAGAAGCCCUAAGCCUUAUAAAGGUUAUGACAAAAUAAAAACAAUACCAAACUAUGUAUAAAUAUAAUGAGACCUCUGUACUAUACAUUAGGUCCUUGUUGAUCAUCCAUUUUAAAUAUAGCAGUGUAUACAUGUCCGUCCCAAAUUCCCUGUCUGUCCCUUCCCCUUACCUUUACCCCUGGCAACCAUAAGUUCAGUCUUUAAGUCUGUGAGUCUCUUUCUGUUCUGUUAGUUCAAUUGUAUCAUUUUUUAGAUUCCAAAUAUAAGGGAUGUCAUAGGAUAUUUCUCCUUUUCUAUCUGACUUACUGUGGAACUCUGCUCAAUGUUAUGUGCCACCUGGAUGGAAGGGGAGUCUGGGGGAGAAUGGAUACAUGUAUUUGUAUGGCUGAGUCCCUCUGCUGUCCACCUGAAACUAUCACAACAUUGUUUGUGAUAAAAAGUUUUAAAAAAAGAGAGGCCUAGCAAUUCUCAGAAUUUAUCUUGAUGAUUUCUUCUUUCCUUAUCUGAAAUGUAUCCAAUUCUUUCAGAAAUUUAUUUUCUCUUCUUUUUUGUAAGGAAGGUGCUCCAGCUCUUUUGCUGUCUUCAGUACUAGCAAGAGUCUGACUAUUGAAUAAUCAACCACAUCACCCUCCUCUUUCCUCCCUCCACCCCACACUCUAGCAUACACAUACCCACAAUCAGCUUUACAUACACACACUUAUUUUCACACCAAAGUUUCUUGGCUUUUUUAGCAUGUAGUUCACAGUACUCAGAAAUCUCACAGAUAAGAAAUGUUUCCCUUGUGCUCAGUCGUUCAGUUGUAUCCAAAUCUGCGACCAUAGCCCACAGACCAUAGCCCACCAGUCGCCCAUGUCCAUGGGAUUUUUCAGGCAAGAAUACCGUAUAGAAUUUAUCUUUGAGGAAUAAGAUUUUAAAGCACGUCCAUUUUUCCUUCACUCAACUGCCAUUCUUUACAAACAGGAAACAUGCUCCUUCUCCCCUUACCAUGAGUUGUUCUGUCUCCCAAAUGAUGCUCUACGAUAUUGCUGCAAUUUAGACUACAAACUGCAUUUCCCCGUUACCUCUGGUUUAUAUUGUUCUCCCCUGCAGAGUUCCUUACCUGGUUUACUUCCAUCAACAGCAGUUUGUGAGUCUCAGAUGCUUUGCUGUUUAUAUUAAACUGAAUUUGUGUCAAAGCAGCUGUGAAUUCAUUACGAGAAGACUGUGAUUCCGUCCUGAAAUUUUGUCUUAGUUACCUGGUUUGUCCUCCGUUGUUAGUCAGUUACUUUAGAAUUGUGUUACAUUAGCUAUUUUAUUUAGCUGUUUUCCUACAUGCCAUUUUAGAAGAAAAAAAAUGGAAUAUAAUCCUUUAACAAAAGUGCCUGUAUGGAUGUAAUUCUUUAUCUUUUAUUUAAAAAUUGUUCUUCCAAACGUGGAGUAUAUGUUCUUUCCAGGUCUCCAUUUUAGGUAUGCUUGUUUCUGAAUUAAUGAAUUCCCCAGGUUUUAGAUAACUAUUGAUAAUAUUUUGUAUUGGCUCUCUUUACUAACAUAUCAAAUUAAUUUUGAAUCACUAGCAUCUAGUAAUAUUAUCAUGGAAAGUAAGAUUGCGUUUUCUCUCUGAGAUUCUCUUCUAGCAGUAACAUUUUGCUGCAUGAGGGGAAAAUCUAUUAAAGUCUUACCAUCUUUGUCUUCCUAAGCCUUAGUUUCCCCAAGUGCUUAGUGAGAAAUAGCAUAAAAGGCCCCCUUAGUGCUGUGUAGACUAAUGACAAAAAUUAUUGGAUUAAUGUUUGGAAAGUGUUUCAGAAUUCUCUCAAGAAAGCUAUUAUGUAAGUAGCAAGUACUAU
ensembl:lncRNA